GAGACAGCAGUAGCCGCGGUAAUACGUAGGUGGCAAGCGUUGUCCGGAAUUAUUGGGCGUAAAGGGCUCGCAGGCGGUUUCUUAAGUCUGAUGUGAAAGCCCCCGGCUCAACCGGGGAGGGUCAUUGGAAACUGGGAAACUUGAGUGCAGAAGAGGAGAGUGGAAUUCCACGUGUAGCGGUGAAAUGCGUAGAGAUGUGGAGGAACACCAGUGGCGAAGGCGACUCUCUGGUCUGUAACUGACGCUGAGGAGCGAAAGCGUGGGGAGCGAACAGGAUUAGAUACCCGUGUAGUCCCUGUCUCUUAUAC
rnacentral:rRNA from 1 species